GCAUAUAGUAGGUGUCUAAUAAAUUUUUAUUGAUUGGCUUCCUGGAGGCUCCUCAUCCUGGAACAGCCUACCAUCCCAGUAUUCCACUCAGCACUGAAUAUCCCUCUGCGAGACCCAUAUCACUUCUUCCAUUGGUGAAGGAGUUGAGGGGCUGUGUCUUGUAUAGGAUUCAGCUACACAUUGAUCAUUACACAGCAGACAGUGGAUAAUUAAAUGAAACAAAACAAAACCAAACCAAACCCAAAAUCCCAGUCCUCCUCGCAAGCCCAAGUGUGGAACUUCCUCCAGAAUGUUACACAUUAAACAACACCCCAGAUAGCAAAUGGGGGACAAGGAGAGAGAGAAAUCAGAUCUAUGUUCUGUCACCAUUUCUA